rnacentral:rRNA from 1 species
UACGUAGGGUGCAAGCGUUGUCCGGAAUUACUGGGCGUAAAGAGCUCGUAGGCGGUGUGUCGCGUCGGCCGUGAAAACCUGCAGCUUAACUGUGGGCUUGCGGUCGAUACGGGCAUCACUGGAGUUCGGCAGGGGAGACUGGAAUUCCUGGUGUAGCGGUGAAAUGCGCAGAUAUCAGGAGGAACACCGGUGGCGAAGGCGGGUCUCUGGGCCGAUACUGACGCUGAGGAGCGAAAGCGUGGGGAGCGAACAGG